rnacentral:rRNA from 1 species
UGAAUACGAGAUGCUACGGCAUCGAAGCAGUCUAUGUCAUACUUCCAAGAAAAGCUUGCACUGUCAUAAACAAAUAAUGCCUGUACCAUAACCGACACAGGUGGGUAGGUAGAGUAUACUAAGGGGCGCGAGAUAACUCUCUCUAAGGAACUCGGCAAAAUGACUCCGUAACUUCGGGAGAAGGAGUGCCUUAUUUUAUAAGGUUGCAAUAACAAGAUCCAAGCAACUGUUUACCAAAAACACAGGUCUCCGCUAAGUCGUAAGACGAUGUAUGGGGGCUGACGCCUGCCCAGUGCCAGAAGGUUAAAGAAGUUGGUUAGCAUUAGCGAAGCUGAUAACUGAAGCCCUGGUGAACGGCGGCCGUAACUAUAACGGUCCUAAGGUAGCGAAAUUCCUUGUCGGGUAAGUUCCGACCCGCACGAAAGGCGUAAUGAUUUGGAUACUGUCUCGGAGAGGGGCUCGGUGAAAUAGACUUGUCUGUGAAGAUGCGGACUACCUGCACCAGGACAGAAAGACCCUAUGAAGCUUUACUGUAACUUGAGAUUGAAAUUGGACUUUAUUUGCGCAGUAUAGGUGGGAGACGUUGAAAAUAUUCUUGCGGGAAUAUUGGAGUCAUCAGUGAGAUACCACUCUUAUAAUGUUAGAUUUCUAACUUUGUAUCAUUAUCUGGUCAAAGAACAGUCUCAGGCGGGCAGUUUGACUGGGGCGGUCGCCUCCCAAACGGUAACGGAGGCGCACAAAGGUUUCCUCUGAACGUGUAGAAAUCGUAUCUAGAGUGUAAAGGCAUAAGGAAGCUUGACUGUUAGACCUACAAGUCGAGCAGGGACGAAAGUCGGUCUUAGUGAUCUGACGGUGCUGAGUGGAAAGGCCGUCACUCAACGGAUAAAAGUUACUCUAAGGAUAACAGGCUGAUCUCCCCCAAGAGUUCACAUCGACGGGGAGGUUUGGCACCUCGAUGUCGGCUCAUCGCAUCCUGGGGCGGUAGUACGUCCCAAGGGUUGGGCUGUUCGCCCAUGAAAGCGGUACGCGAGCUGUGUUCAGAACGUCGUGAGACAGUUCGGUCCAUAUCCGGUGUAGGCGUUAGAAUAUUGAGAGGAGCCUUCUUUAGUACGAGAGGACCGAGAAGGACAUACCUCUGGUGUACCAGUUAUCGUGCCAACGGUAAACGCUGGGUAGCUAUGUAUGGAGAGGAUAACCGCUGAAAGCAUCUAAGUGGGAAGCCCACCUCAAGAUAAG